rnacentral:rRNA from 1 species
CCGGCGAGUUACGAUUUGUUGCAAGGUUAAGCGGAAAAAGCGGAGCCGUAGCGAAAGCGAGUCUGAAUAGGGCGCAUAAGUAACAGGUCGUAGACCCGAAACCAGGUGAUCUACCCAUGUCCAGGAUGAAGGUAAGGUAAUACUUACUGGAGGUCCGAACCCACGCACGUUGAAAAGUGCGGGGAUGAGGUGUGGGUAGCGGAGAAAUUCCAAUCGAACUUGGAGAUAGCUGGUUCUCUCCGAAAUAGCUUUAGGGCUAGCCUCGAGGUAAAGAGUCAUGGAGGUAGAGCACUGUUUGGACUAGGGGCCCUUCUCGGGUUACCGAAUUCAGAUAAACUCCGAAUGCCAUGUACUUAUACUCGGGAGUCAGACUGCGAGUGAUAAGAUCCGUAGUCGAAAGGGAAACAGCCCAGACCACCAGUUAAGGUCCCCAAAUAUAUGUUAAGUGGAAAAGGAUGUGGGGUUGCUUAGACAACCAGGAUGUUGGCUUAGAAGCAGCCACCAUUGAAAGAGUGCGUAAUAGCUCACUGGUCGAGUGACCCCGCGCCGAAAAUGUACCGGGGCUAAACAUAUUACCGAAACUGUGGAUGAACCUCUUUAGAGGUUCGUGGUAGGAGAGCGUUCUAAGGGCGGUGAAGUCAGACCGGAAGGACUGGUGGAGCGCUUAGAAGUGAGAAUGCCGGUAUGAGUAGCGAAAGAAGGGUGAGAAUCCCUUCCACCGAAUAUCUAAGGUUUCCUGAGGAAGGCUCGUCCGCUCAGGGUUAGUCGGGACCUAAGCCGAGGCCGAUAGGCGUAGGCGAUGGACAACAGGUAGAGAUUCCUGUACCAGUGCUAAUUGUUUAACCGAUGGGGUGACACAGAAGGAUAGGGAAUCGCACGAAUGGAAAUGUGCGUCCAAGCAGUGAGUGUGAGAAGUAGGCAAAUCCGCUUCUCGCGAAGCAUGAGCUGUGAUGGGGAAGGAAAUUAAGUACGGAAGUUCCUGAUUUCACGCUGUCAAGAAAAGCCUCUAGGAAGAGUAGUACUGCCCGUACCGCAAACCGACACAGGUAGAUGAGGAGAGAAUCCUAAGGUGAGCGAGAGAACUCUCGUUAAGGAACUCGGCAAAAUGACCCCGUAACUUCGGGAGAAGGGGUGCUCUAUUAGGGUGCAAGCCCGAGAGAGCCGCAGUGAAUAGGCCCAGGCGACUGUUUAGCAAAAACACAGGUCUCUGCAAAACCGUAAGGUGACGUAUAGGGGCUGACGCCUGCCCGGUGCUGGAAGGUUAAGAGGAGUGCUUAGCUUCGGCGAAGGUACGAAUUGAAGCCCCAGUAAACGGCGGCCGUAACUAUAACGGUCCUAAGGUAGCGAAAUUCCUUGUCGGGUAAGUUCCGACCCGCACGAAAGGCGCAACGAUCUGGGCACUGUCUCAACGAGAGACUCGGUGAAAUUAUAGUACCUGUGAAGAUGCAGGUUACCCGCGACAGGACGGAAAGACCCCGUGGAGCUUUACUGCAACCUGAUAUGGAAUGUUUGUACCGCUUGUACAGGAUAGGUAGGAGCCGAAGAGACGUGUGCGCUAGCAUACGAGGAGGCAAUGGUGGGAUACUACCCUGGCUGUAUGACCAUUCUAACCCGCCACGCUUAGCGCGUGGGGAGACAGUGUCAGGUGGGCAGUUUGACUGGGGCGGUCGCCUCCUAAAGAGUAACGGAGGCGCCCAAAGGUUCCCUC